rnacentral:rRNA from 1 species
UGGGGAAUAUUGCACAAUGGGGGGAACCCUGAUGCAGCAACGCCGCGUGAGUGAAGAAGUGAUUCGUUAUGUAAAGCUCUAUCAGCAGGGAAGAAAAUGACGGUACCUGAGUAAGCAGCCCCCGCUAACCACGCGUCAGCAGCCGCGGUAAUACGUAGGGGGCAAGCGUUAUCCGGAUUUACUGGGUGUAAAGGGAGCGUAGACGGCCACGCAAGUCUGAAGUGAAAUGCCAGUGCUCAACACUGGAACUGCUUUGGAAACUGUGAGGCUGGAGUGCAGGAGAGGUAAGUGGAAUUCCUAGUGUAGCGGUGAAAUGCGUAGAUAUUAGGAGGAACACCAGUGGCGAAGGCGGCUUACUGGACUGUAACUGACGUUGAGGCUCGAAGGCGUGGGGAGCAAACAGG